UACGUAGGGGGCAAGCGUUGUCCGGAAUCAUUGGGCGUAAAGCGCGUGUAGGCGGCUGGGUAAGUCCGCUCUGAAAGCCCGGGGCUCAACCCCGGGAGGCGGGUGGAUACUGCUCAGCUCGAGUCCGGAAGAGGAGUGUGGAAUUCCUGGUGUAGCGGUGAAAUGCGCAGAUAUCAGGAGGAACACCAAUGGCGAAGGCAGCACUCUGGGACGGUACUGACGCUGAGACGCGAAAGCAUGGGGAGCGAACAGG
rnacentral:rRNA from 1 species